CCUACGGGGGGCAGCAGUGAGGAAUAUUUGUCAAUGGGCGCGAGCCUGAACCAGCCACGUAGCGUGAAGGAUGACUGCCCUCCGGGUUGUAAACUUCUUUUAUAAAGGAAUAAAGUGAGGCUCGUGAGCCUCUUUGUAUGUACUUUAUCAGUAAAGGUAGGCUAACUUCGUGCCAGCCCCCGCGGUAAUACGGAGGAUCCGGGCGUUAUCCGGAUUUAUAGGGUUUAAAGGGAGCGUAGGGGGGAUGUUAAGUCAGUUGUGAAAUUUUGCGGCUCAACCGUAGAAUUGCAAUUGAUACUGGCAGCCUGGAGUGCAGUAGAGGAUGGCGGAAUUCGUGGUGUAGCGGUGAAAUGCUUAGAUAUCAUGAAGAACUCCGAUUGCGAAGGCA
rnacentral:rRNA from 1 species